rnacentral:rRNA from 1 species
UACGUAGGGGGCAAGCGUUGUCCGGAUUUAUUGGGCGUAAAGAGCGUGUAGGCGGCUGGGUAGGUCCGUUGUGAAAACUCGAGGCUCAACCUCGAGACGCCGAUGGAAACCCCCUGGCUAGAGUCCGGAAGAGGAGAGUGGAAUUCCUGGUGUAGCGGUGAAAUGCGCAGAUAUCAGGAAGAACACCCGUGGCUAAGGCGGCUCUCUAGUACGGUACUGACGCUGAGACGCGAAAGCGUGGGGAGCGAACAGG